rnacentral:rRNA from 1 species
UUGUGCCUACGGGGGGCAGCAGUGGGGAAUAUUGCACAAUGGGGGAAACCCUGAUGCAGCGACGCCGCGUGAAGGAAGAAGUAUUUCGGUAUGUAAACUUCUAUCAGCAGGGAAGAAAAUGACGGUACCUGACUAAGAAGCCCCGGCUAACUACGUGCCAGCAGCCGCGGUAAUACGUAGGGGGCAAGCGUUAUCCGGAUUUACUGGGUGUAAAGGGAGCGUAGGCGGCGAUGCAAGUCAGAAGUGAAAGCCCGGGGCCCAACUCCGGGACUGCUUUUGAAACUGUGUGGCUAG